GGGCAGGUAGCUCAGUGGGUAGAGCAGUUUUACCUUUUCGUUUUCUUACCCCUUUCGGGUCGAAGAAUGAGGAUUACCGGUCGGGAGUUCGAAUCUCCCCCUGUCCA
rnacentral:tRNA from 2 species